UACAGAGGGUGCUAGCGUUGUUCGGAAUCAUUGGGCGUAAAGGGCGUGUAGGCGGUUUGUUAAGUCAUGUGUGAAAUCCCUCGGCUCAACCGGGGAACGACGCAUGAAACUGGCAAGCUAGAGUACCAAAGAGGGGGGUGGAAUUCCCGGUGUAGCGGUGAAAUGCGUAGAUAUCAGGAGGAACACCUGUGGUGUAGACAGCUUACUGGACCACUUCUGACGCUGAGACACGAAAGCGUGGGUAGCAAACAGG
rnacentral:rRNA from 1 species